rnacentral:rRNA from 1 species
CGAAGGGCGCAAGCGUUAAUCGGAAUUACUGGGCGUAAAGCGUGCGUAGAUGGUUCAUUAAGUCGGAUGUGAAAGCCCCGGGCUCAACCUGGGAACUGCAUCCGAUACUGGUGGACUAGAGUGCGGUAGAGGAUGGCGGAAUUCCCGGUGUAGCGGUGAAAUGCGUAGAGAUCGGGAGGAACAUCCGUGGCGAAGGCGGCCAUCUGGACCAGCACUGACGUUGAGGCACGAAAGCGUGGGGAGCAAACAGGAUUAGAUACCCUGGUAGUCCACGCCCUAAACGAUGUCGACUGGAUGUUGGGUGCAACUUGGCACUCAGUAUCGAAGCUAACGCGUUAAGUCGACCGCCUGGGGAGUACGCGCGCAAGCGUG